GACGAACGCUGGCGGCGUGCUUAACACAUGCAAGUCGAACGGAAAGGCCCUGCUUUUGUGGGGUGCCCGAGUGGCGAACGGGUGAGUAACACGUGAGUAACCUGCCCUUGACUUUGGGAUAACUUCAGGAAACUGGGGCUAAUAUCGUAUCGCAGCUCCUGCUGCAUGGUGGGGGUUGGAAAGUUUCGGCGGUUGGGGAUGGACUCGCGGCUUAUCAGCUUGCUGGUGGGGUAGUGGCUUACCAAGGGUUUGACGGGUAGCCGGCCUGAGAGGGUGACCGGCCACAUGAGUCCUGCGAUACGCCCCAGACUGCAACGGGAGGCAGCGGUCGGGAAUCUUGCCCAAUGGGCGGGAGCCUGAGGCAGAGACGCCGCGUGCGGGAUGACGGCCUUCGGGUUAUGAACCGCUUUCGCCUGAGACGAAGCGUUAGUGACGGUAAUGGGUAAAGAAGCACCGGCUAACUACGUG
rnacentral:rRNA from 1 species